rnacentral:tRNA from 1 species
UGCAGGUUGGAGGAGUGGAUGCCUUAUCUGGCUCAUACCCAGAAGACACGGGUUCGAAUCCCGUACCUGCUA